rnacentral:rRNA from 1 species
ACGUUAGCGGCGGACGGGUGAGUAACACGUGGGUAACCUACCUAUAAGACUGGGAUAACUCCGGGAAAACCGGGGCUAAUACCGGAUAAUACAUGAAACCGCAUGGUUUCAUGAUGAAAGACGGUUUUGCUGUCACUUAUAGAUGGACCCGCGGCGUAUUAGCUAGUUGGUAAGGUAACGGCUUACCAAGGCAACGAUACGUAGCCGACCUGAGAGGGUGAUCGGCCACACUGGAACUGAGACACGGUCCAGACUCCUACGGGAGGCAGCAGGC